ACUGCCAUAUCAUCUUGAAACACCAGUAGUCGUACGAUCACUGAAGUUAAGCAACGUCAAGCCUGAUCAGUACCUCAAUGUCUGACCGCUUGGAAAUAGUAGGUGCAGUAAG